CUAUGCAACCAUAUCACCCUGUAAGUCACAACCAGAAGCCCACUGAAGCUCAGCAGGUGUGAGCCUGGUCAGUACCUGGAUGGGAGACCUCCUAAGAAAGCUAAGGUUGCUGCUGAAA
rnacentral:rRNA from 1 species